rnacentral:rRNA from 1 species
UAAAGGUUUUGCAAGACUAGUUAAGGAAUCCCAUAAAACCAUUUCAGUUCGGAUUGCAGGUGCAACUCGCCUGCAUGAAGCCGGAAUCGUAGUAAUCGCGGAUCAGCAUGCCGCGGUGAAUACGUUCCCGGGCCUUGUACACACCGCCCGUCACACCACGAGAGUUUGUAACACCCGAAGUCGGUGGGGUAACCUUUGGAGCCAGCCGCCUAAGGUGGACAGAUAUUGGGGG